rnacentral:rRNA from 1 species
GCCUUACAGGUUGUUGGGGGAGGAAAGGGUUCACCAAGGGGGACGACGGGUAGCCGGCCUGGGAGGGCGACCGGCCCCAUUGGGACUGAGAUACGGCCCAAAUUCCUACGGGAGGCAGCAGUGGGGAAUAUUGCACAAUGGGCGAAAGCCUGAUGCAGCAACGCCGCGUGCGGGAAGACGGCCUUCGGGUUGUAAACCGCUUUCAGUAGGGACGAAGCUAACGUGACGGUACCUACAGAAGAAGCACCGGCUAACUACGUGCCAGCAGCCGCGGUGAUACGUAGGGUGCGAGCGUUGUCCGGAAUUAUUGGGCGUAAAGAGCUUGUAGGCGGUUUGUCACGUCGGGAGUGAAAACUCGGGGCUUAACCCCGAGCCUGCUUCCGAUACGGGCUGACUUGAGGAAGGUAGGGGAGAAUGGAAUUCCUGGUGAAGCGGUGGAAUGCGUAGAUAUCAGGAGGAACACCAGUGGCGAAGGCGGUUCUCUGGACCUUUCCUGACGCUGAGAAGCGAAAGCGUGGGGAGCAAACAGGCUUAGAUACCCUGGUAGUCCACGCCGUAAACGGUGGGUACUAGGUGUGGGGAACAUUCCACGUUCUCCGUGCCGCAGCUAACGCAUUAAGUACCCCGCCUGGGGAGUACGGCCGCAAGGCUAAAACUCAAAGGAAUUGACGGGGCCCCGCACAAGCGGCGGAGCAUGCGGAUUAAUUCGAUGCAACGCGAAGAACCUUACCUGGGUUUGACAUAUACCGGAAACAUCUAGAGAUAGGUGCCCCUUUUUGGUCGGUAUACAGGUGGUGCAUGGCUGUCGUCAGCUCGUGUCGUGAGAUGUUGGGUUAAGUCCCGCAACGAGCGCAACCCUCGUCCUAUGUUGCCAGCGGAUAAUGCCGGGGACUCAUAGGAGACCGCCGGGGUCAACUCGGAGGAAGGUGGGGAUGACGUCAAGUCAUCAUGCCCCUUAUGUCCAGGGCUUCACGCAUGCUACAAUGGCCGGUACAAAGAGCUGCGAACCUGCAAGGGUGAGCGAAUCUCAAAAAGCCGGUCUCAGUUCGGAUUGGGGUCUGCAACUCGACCCCAUGAAGUCGGAGUCGCUAGUAAUCGCAGAUCAGCAACGCUGCGGUGAAUACGUUCCC